rfam:Myotis brandtii contig245039, whole genome shotgun sequence.
GGUGGUUCUUGGGUGACACCGCCCCAAAUUGGGCUCCCUCCUCUCUGGUUCCAGGAUGCAUCACCCGAGAACCGCU